GGACAGAAUUAUCUUUACGCUCCCGGAACAAAAACGUGCAUUUGAAAAUAUUGUGUAAGUGUCCGCCAGCGCUCACUCAACCAUCCGAACAUAAUGCCGACGUCCCCUGUUAAAACGCGGAUCCCCCUCACCAGCUUCGGUCACCUCAUAACAGAGGUGAAGAAGCAGCUGUUUGGCAUUGAGACUCCAACUUCUGUGGAACUGACGGGUUUGAGGAAAUACUUCAAUAGCUACACACUGCAGGGACGCCGAAAUUGUGUGUUGGUUACCUAUGGGGUCUUUGCUGUAACUGCUGCCGCCUACUUCCUGCACAGACAGAGCAAAAAAGAGAACCAGAGGUCCAACGCUUCAGCCUGAAGAAUGAAUGAAAAUGACACGACACUACCUGUACUCUGUUAAUAAAUCUAUUUAAAUGCAGAA